rnacentral:lncRNA from 1 species
AUUGUUCAAUUUGUGACAAAUUUAUAGAGUAGGUAGAAUUCAUCCUUAGAUUUUACUACAAAAAAAACCAACUAUAAAUUCACUUCCGAUCAUAUGGCAUUUAACAAACCCUAGCAGAUGUUCUAAAUCCUAAUUUAUAAGUAUUCAAGAACUAUUUUCUUAAUAUCUCAAGAAUCCAAAAUUUAAAUGCCAUCAAACUUAUGUACAAAGUUUACUUACAUGAAUAUACACAUUUCUUAAAAUUUUGAGCCAAAACCUUGUCAAAUUGUUCAAGAUAUAAUCCAAGACAUAAUUACUAGUAAAUUGGAUUAUUUACUAUCCUUAGAUUGCAUGCAUUGACUUCAAAAUCCAAUACCUCCUUCACCUCAACUUGAAAUCUAGUAAGCAAUAUGUAAAAAAUAUAACUACAAAAGUGCUCUCUUUAAUUGCAGUCACUAAUUCUCAAUUGCUUUCCAUAUGCAUGCAUUAUGUCAAAACGAAAAGUAAUAGCUUAUAAAUCAACACCUUAUUUUUGAGUGCCUAUAUCACCUUCAUAUAAACUUCAAAUCAUAUAAAAUUUACACCAAAACCAUAGCCAAAAACUUGAGCUCUCUAAUCCUAGUUUUUAAAGUUUAAAUGGCUCCAAAAAACUAACCCUAAUCUCUAAUAUGGCCUCGAGUAGCCUCUUCAAAGUCCAUUGGUAAUAAUUUUUGACCAAUAGGAAUGGAGAUUUUCAUCAUCCAUCUUCAUUCAUCUAUAUAGAUGCCCUAAACUCUCUUUUUAUUACCAAAAUCUCUCUCCAACUCUUUUUUUUAUAAGAUUUACUCAAUAUAUGCCCUAAACAUCAAAUUAAAGAACCAAAAUAAGACUUCAAGGAUCACCAAUG